AUCACCCAAUCAUCAUCAUCAUCAUCAUUAUUACCAUUAUUAUUAUUAUUUUAACUUAGAUGCUGUCCCAAGGGUCUGGCGGUGCGGGAAACUUCCCCGCUGUUUCCUAACUCCUGGAAGCGCAGAACCGUUGGGGUUGGAAAAGAUCUCCAAGACCACCAGGUCCAACCCAAACCCAUCCCCAGCAGUGCUGCCCGCUGUCCUAAGUGCCACAUCCGUGGUUCUGGAACACCCCAGGGGCAGUGACACCCCGCAGCCCCCGGGGCAGCUGUCCCAGCUCCGCUCUACCAACACACCACCACUCUGUCUGGGAAGAAAUUCCUCCUAAUCUUCCAUGCAUGGGACGCACGAGGAUCCCCUCAUCCUUGGCACUGCGCUGUUCCCAGAGCCCGGCAGAUCCGAUCUCAUUAAAGCAGAUAACGCCGCUGCUGUUUGUUGUGACACCGUUUGUGUGAGUGACAAGCAAAGGGUUAACUCCAGGGAAUUGGGAAUAUUGCCUGGCUGCUAAUAACACGUGAGUCACUGCCGGAACAACACAUGGGUGCAGGGAGAGACACAGCACCCAACUGCACAGCAGCCCUCUGCCUUCAGGGUCGGGGUUUGCCGUGCAGUGACCCCAAACCGGGCAGGGGAAGGGGGUGAGCAAACCCUCCAGCAGGGAAUUAUCACAUCUCCAAAUCCAUCAGCUCCAUCCCUGCACCCCAACGGGAUGGGAGUCACAGGGAUGGGGGACGGAGAGAGGACAGGGACCCGCACGCAUCAUUCCCACCUCCUGGAAACCACGCGGAGAGGAGCAGCCCUGCGCUCCAGCCCGGUCAGCAGAGGAAUCUGCACACGCAGACAGGAUCGCUGCAAUCGCUGGUGGCUGAGGAUGAUUCCGACACGAGGAGGAUCCCUGAGUCCUCGCCUCGCCGUGUUUUGCACCGUGUGAACAUUGCAAGGCCGUCUAUCGCUGCACCUGCCCCUAUGUGCACUGCUGUACCUGCCCCAUAUGUAGUGCUGUACCUGCCCCAUAGAUAGUGCUGUACCUGCCCCAUAUAUGCUGCUGUACCUGCCUCAUGUGCUGCUUCUCCUGCCCUGCACGUGCAUUGGGACGGAGGGUCGGGUCGGCUGCUUUGCACAGAAGGUCGCAUGGAAAACGUUGCAAGCAAGGAUGGGUUGGAAUGUAAAAGAUUUAUUAAUUUAAUCCGAAGCAUUAAAAGGUCAUGUAUUAAUCAAA